UACAGAGGUCCCAAGCGUUGUUCGGAUUCAUUGGGCGUAAAGGGUGUGUAGGUGGCGCCGUAAGUCGGGUGUGAAAUUUCGGAGCUUAACUCCGAACCUGCAUUCGAUACUGCGGUGCUUGAGGACUGGAGAGGAGACUGGAAUUCAUGGUGUAGCAGUGAAAUGCGUAGAGAUCAUGAGGAAGACCAGUGGCGAAGGCGGGUCUCUGGACAGUUCCUGACACUGAGACACGAAGGCCAGGGGAGCAAACGGG
rnacentral:rRNA from 1 species